rnacentral:rRNA from 1 species
GUGGCUUCCGGAGCUAACGCGUUAAGUAGACCGCCUGGGGAGUACGGCCGCAAGGUUAAAACUCAAAUGAAUUGACGGGGGCCCGCACAAGCGGUGGAGCAUGUGGUUUAAUUCGAUGCAACGCGAAGAACCUUACCUGGUCUUGACAUCCACAGAAGAAUCCAGAGAUGGAUUUGUGCCUUCGGGAACUGUGAGACAGGUGCUGCAUGGCUGUCGUCAGCUCGUGUUGUGAAAUGUUGGGUUAAGUCCCGCAACGAGCGCAACCCUUAUCCUUUGUUGCCAGCGGUUAGGCCGGGAACUCAAAGGAGACUGCCAGUGAUAAACUGGAGGAAGGUGGGGAUGACGUCAAGUCAUCAUGGCCCUUACGACCAGGGCUACACACGUGCUACAAUGGCGCAUACAAAGAGAAGCGACCUCGCGAGAGCAAGCGGACCUCAUAAAGUGCGUCGUAGUCCGGAUUGGAGUCUGCAACUCGACUCCAUGAAGUCGGAAUCGCUAGUAAUCGUGGAUCAGAAUGCCACGGUGAAUACGUUCCCGGGCCUUGUACACACCGCCCGUCACACCAUGGGAGUGGGUUGCAAAAGAAGUAGGUAGCUUAACCUUCGGGAGGGCGCUUACCACUUUGUGAUUCAUGACUGGGGUGAAGUCGUAACAAGGUAACCGUAGGGGAACCUGCGGUUGGAUCACCUCCUUACCUUAAAGAA